ACAACUUUAUUUUCCUUCUUCCAAGAUUUACAUGUCUUGAGUUGAAUAACUCUUACCAUCUUUUUUUAAUCAACAUAACAUUGUUUUCAUAAAUAUUACCAUUACCGUUUCCCCGGAACCAUCCACCAUUGGAUACCCCUCUUGCAUAUUUGGGGGUGGCACGAGGUACUGGUAUGGAAACACUAUCACUGUCUUCACUGUCAGACUGCCAAAACACUUUACCCUUCCGUUUAUGAUCGCAAUGAGGGCACAUGGUAGGCUUUCAAGUCCCAGUUUUAUAGACUUGAUCAAACAUAUAAAGUAAUGCAGAGACAGGAUACUGCUCAGGGCCCUCCACUGUUGUAUCAAUUUUUCCAUUGAAUAAUCUACACUUUGCCACCAGAGAAAGCCCAAUAUCUGUUCCAGUUGAUCUGUCAAAACUUGUUCCGCUGCUCUUGACAAAGUAGUGCGCCACAGUCACCACCGAGGACCCCACCUCCCUCUCUUUUUCUUUGACUCCUUAACAAGAAGACCGCUUCUGCCUCCACUCCCAUACAACUGAACUUCUGUAUCCACAACACCACCCCAUGCAUCAAAACUCUCGUUAUUCUUUGCCCAUGUUUUGAAAUCAGGUAUCAACAACCUGAAACUCUUCAUCCAAAUAUAAUUGGUCUCAUCGAACCCAAUAGAAUACCACGAAUAGAAAUCAAAAGAUAUACGGUCUUGGACGAAAAAUCGUAUUUCUUUGGCCUUGCUAUGUUGAUCAACACCAUAUCUUGUGAAGGAUACCUCACAAGUUUCCUUAUCUACUGUGUAUACCACCUUAAAGGUCUCCUUCACCGCAUCGUCUUUCUCAAAAUCUUUGGACAAGUCGAUGGAAGUGGAUGGUCCCAGCUGUAGAUGGCAGGGAAUUGGAGCAGAUCCAAUAUAAUUAUCGAGAACAACAUCAAGACUGCUUCCCAUCUUGUUAUUUUAUAGGAAAUAGAAUGGAAGGAAUGGAAUGGAUUAGUAGUUUAAGGGUUGAUACUUGAAUGGAAGGAUGUUCACAUGCCAAUGUUAUAUAUAGAGAUGCACACAUUACAUUACAGUAUAAUCUUUGCCCUAGUAAGCGUUAUUCUUACGCACAUUCAUUCUUUCAAUCACAGUCACUGUGGCAUCUAAUUCUCCAUCAUGCAUUACCUUUUACUGUUAAAUAUUCUCCAAUCUUCAACCUCUUUGAUUCUUCAUUCUUCCACUAAUUCAAUUCUUUUCUCAGUGCGGCUCACAACGGGUGUUUGUUUUUUAUGAACCUGUUACAGUUUCAAAACCAUUUUGUAGAUCACUUCAAUAUUUCUGCACAAAACAAUAACUAUGUAAAUGCUACAGCUAAUAGAUAAACAUGCCUCAUAAUUACAGUAAGGGAUGAACUUUUUUAAUAACCAUGAUUAUAUAUUUUAUUACUAGACUAUUAUUUAUGAACUUUAUUGUCUUUUUUUGUGGCUUGUGGCGUGCAGGUGGAGCUUGAACAGUACCCAACGGCACCCCGUAUUGCUUCUCGAAUGCUUUUCACCGUGUUCCCUCAUUCCCUAUAUUCACCAUCUUUUUUUAUUUCACUCUUACUCCUCAAAUGUGCUAAAGUUGGAUUCUUUUGACUUAUACCACGUUCAUAUUGCUGUGGUUGUUAAUGGGUAUUUUUUAUCGUGUGCUUGUCUGGGGAAUUUGGCCACUUUAGUAUAUGCAAUGCAAUGCAACCUGUGUUGGUCAUACUUGCUUCUAUGAUGAUGUGAUUGGGAACAUCUAGUUAUGAUUAUUUUUGGUCAUGACAAUUCUGAUUGGCUUUUGGGUUUUGAGACCAUCUUUGGAGCAUUUACUUGCUGUUCUGUGGCAUGGAUUAGGAAAAGAUGGGGAGGGUAUUUUAGGAAAUCAAUUCAAUUGUGUGCAAGUGUGUGUGGAUUUGCAAAUUAUUUAGGGAAUGUUUUUUUCCAUUUAAAAUAGCUAUAGUAAUUUCCACUUUGCUAAAGUUUAUUUUGUCUGUGUUCACUUCUACGUUGCUUUUCUUUUCUCUUACUUUAUUCUUCUAUAUUUUACUACCAAAUCAAUCUUUUAUUCUCACAUAUCAGUUAUAUAAUAUAAUUCUCUAUCAUAUGCCCAGUGUUAUUCUUGGUCAGAUUAUUUCAAUUACAUGGCACCUAAUUCUCUAUCAUAUUUUCUACUCCACUUUCAUAUUUCUCUUCUCCACUUGUUAAUUCCUUAUUUUUCCAUUGAUUCGUCUAAAUGCAUAUCCAACUUUUGCGAAGCAGACUAUGAAAAUCAUGAGAAACAAGCGUUGGUAUUCUCUACACUAAUUUCCAUUUAACUAUAAACUCAUAGAUAUGAGGUUCUAUGAACUUUUUUUUACCAGUAAGAACUAAAUUAAAGAAAACACUAAAAGGUGAUUCAUGAAAAAAAAAACAGACACUUACUCACACUUGAAUUUCUCUAAAAGAAACACUCUUCUUUGAAAUUCUUCUUUGUUGUAUUUCUUUUCUGUGGUGUAUCUUACAAUUGAGAGAGCAUCCUUUUUAUAGGCUUUAGGAAGCUCUUCUAGAAAAGUCUUCAUUAUGGCCUUAAAACCCCACUAACAACACAAUUAAAAUCCCACUCACAACUUUUGACCUUUUACAUAUCCAAACUCCCAUUCUACUCUUUUCUAGUAACUUCUAACUUUAAAACCCACAAAUUACAUUAAAGUUUAUUCAACAAAACUCCCCCAUAAACUUAAAUGUUUCUACCAUCCAUCAUGCCAAUCAUCUUUUUGAAUUUGUCGAAAAAGACUUUCGGUAGCGGUUUUGUGAAGAUAUCAGCAACUUGAUCUUGACUUGCCACAUGCACCAAUUCCACACUUCCUUUCUUCACAUGAUCACGAAUAAAGUGAAAACGAACGUCAAUAUGUUUGCUUCUUUCAUGGUUCAUUGGGUUCUUUGCCAACUCAAUUGCUGAUUUGUUGUCAACUUGAAUCACAGUUGCAUCUAGUUGCUUUAGCUCCAUCUUCCUAACAAGUUUCUUAGCCAUAUCGCAUGACAUACACACCAAGAUGCUGCCACAUAUUCAGCUUCACACGUCGAUAGCGUCACGAUCGGUUGCUUCUUUGAAAGCCAAGAAAAUGUUGUGUUGCCCAUAAAGAAUACAUAUCCCGAUGUACUUUUUCGAUCAUCUAUGUCUCCUCACCAAUCGCUGUCAGAGUAACCCACCAACUUGUAAUCUUCUGCUUUUGAGUAGAACAAUCCGAGUGAUACAGUACCUUGGAUGUACCGUAGGACUCGCUUUAACGCCUUCCAAUGUGAGUAAACCGGUUCCUCCAUGAAUCGACUUAUGAUGCCGACACUUAAUGAAAGAUCCGGCCUUGUGCAUGUGAGAUAACGAAGGCUUCCUACCAAACUCCGGUAUCUACUUGCAUCGACACGUUCUCCUCCAUCGAACUUUGAGAGUUUUGCACCUGGUUCUAUUGGUAUUGAUACUGGGUUGCAAUUUUCCAUCUUGUACUUCUUCAAAAUCUCCUUUGCAUAUUUCUCCUGUGAUACAAAAAUACCUGUCUCUUUUUGUCUAACUUCCAAGCCAAGGAAAAACUUCAUCAAUCCCAAAUCUGUCAUCUCGAAUUCUCGUCUCAUUGUGUCCUUAAACUCUUCUAUCAUCUCAUUAUUGUUACCCAUAAAAAUGAGAUCAUCAACAUAAAGAGCAACAAAUAUCAUGUUACCUCCACUGUUCUUUGCGUAAAGAGCAUGCUCGUAAGGACUUUGCUUGAACCCGUUCUCCUUGAAGUAUGUAUCGAUACGAGUAUUCCAUGCCCGCGGUGCUUGCUUCAACCCGUAAAGGGCCUUCUUCAAUUUUAGCACCUUCUUCUCCUCUCCGAUUUUCAUGUACCCAGGUGGUUGUUCGAUGUAGACUUCUUCUUCAAGCACACCAUUCAAGAAUGCCGACUUGACAUCCAUUUGAAAUAUCGGCCAUUUAAAUUGAGCCGUUUGGGAAAUGAGCAAUCGAAUUGUCUCCAUUCUUACAACGGGAGCAAACACCUCAUCGUAGNNNNNNNNNNNNNNNNNNNNNNNNNNNNNNNNNNNNNNNNNNNNNNNNNNNNNNNNNNNNNNNNNNNNNNNNNNNNNNNNNNNNNNNNNNNNNNNNNNNNNNNNNNNNNNNNNNNNNNNNNNNNNNNNNNNNNNNNNNNNNNNNNNNNNNNNNNNNNNNNNNNCUUUAAUCUCCUCAUCCAUGGCAGUUUGCCACUUCUUGUCUCGCACCGCCUCUUCAAAGCUGAUAUUUUCAGCAUCUGCCAAAAGACAUACUAGGUGUACCUCAUUUGUCGAAUCGUACAAAUCAUGCAAACUUCGAAUUUUAGGUUGUCGUGGUUCAUCUUCAUCAUCGGUUGUUUCGGAAUUUAUACUUGUCGGUGAUGAUUCUCCAACUUCAAUCAUAACCUCUGAAGAAUUGUUCCAAUCCCACUCGCUUGCUUCAUUUAUUUGCACAUCACGACUCACCAUCACCUUCUUGCUUAUCGGGUCAAGGAGCUUGUAUCCUUUUGUCUUCUCAUCAUACCCAAUAAAAACAUACCUUUUGCUUUUGUCUUCGAGCUUCGUUCUUCGUUGAUCUGGUACGUGUGCAUAAGCCACACUACCAAACACUUUGAGAUGAGAAACUGUUGGCUUUUGUCCGCUCCAUGCCUCUUGUGGUGUUUGAUCAUCUAACUUCACAUGUGGACAUCGAUUUUGCACAUAGAUGGCGCAUUGCACAGCUUCCGCCCAAAAUUCCUUUGGCAUCUUUUUGCUCUUAAGCAUUGAUCGAACCAUGUCGAGAAUGGUCUGAUUCUUCCUCUCGGCCACACCAUUUUGUUGAGGAGUGUAUGGUGCAGUUAGAAAUCACCUUAUGCCUUGCUCCUCGCAAUACUCCAUGAAAGUCGUUGAAGUAUACUCGCCACCUCUAUCAGAUCGUACAGCUUUGAUCUGUUUAUCAGUUGUCCUCUCCACCAUCACCUUGAACUUUUUGAACACCUCAAAUGCCUCGGAUUUUUCNNNNNNNNNNNNNNNNNNNNNNNNNNNNNNNNNNNNNNNNNNNNNNNNNNNNNNNNNNNNNNNNNNNNNNNNNNNNNNNNNNNNNNNNNNNNNNNNNNNNUUCAGAAAGUAAACCCAAGUUUUUCGUGAGAAAUCAUCAAUGAAGGUAAUGAAAUACCUUUUACCGCUGAAGGAAACUGGAGUAAUUGGUCCACAUAUGUCGGUAUGAAUCAAUUCGAGAGGUUGCUUAGCCCAAUAUUGAGCCUUCUUUGGAAACGAGGUUCUCACAUGCUUGCUGAGCACACAUUCUUCACAAAAUUUUCCCUCGUAGUCCAUGUUGGGUAGCCCGUGCACCAUAUUCUUCUUCUCUAACUCUUUUAGUCCACCAUGAUGUAGGUGACCAAAACGGAGAUGCCACAACGAUGCCUUAUCUUCUAUGUUGACUUGCAAACAUUUUUCUCGUAUGCUUCUCAAAUUUAGCUUGUACAUCCGAUUUCUUGCCAUCUCAAUUCGAGCAACCAAACGCCCUUGCUUGUUCUUCAAGUGUAGGAGUCGAUCUUUCAAAAAUAUCGAGUAACCUUUCUCCGUGAGUUGCCCCAUACUCAAAAUGUUGGUCUUGAGGUCUGGUACGUAAUAAACNNNNNNNNNNNNNNNNNNNNNNNNNNNNNNNNNNNNNNNNNNNNNNNNNNNNNNNNNNNNNNNNNNNNNNNNNNNNNNNNNNNNNNNNNNNNNNNNNNNNNNNNNNNNNNNNNNNNNNNNNNNNNNNNNNNNNNNNNNNNCGCACAUAUGGUUGCUUGCUCCAGAGUCGAGGUACCACAGAGUGUCAUUGUUAAUGUUGACUUCAUCUUGAGCCAUCAAGAGAACACCUUCAUUCGUUUCGACUUCCAAGGCUAGGUUGGUUGUUUCUUCUAUCUUUGUAUCAGCACGACAAUCUUUUGCAAAAUGCCCCACUUUACCACAAUUGUAACAUUUGUCAAAGUUACAAUCCUUCGCAUAGUGACCAUAUUUGUGACAUUUGUAGCACUCGAUGUUGGGAUAAUUCGAUCGGCCGCCUCUUCCUCUACCACGUCCUCUUCCACGCCAAUUUGGUUGGCUCGACUGUUCCUUCUCCUUAUAGUACCUUUUCCACCACGACCGUUUCCACGACUUCCACGACCACGCCCUCUAUAUUGAGAAUUUUGAUGAUAGAGUACCUUUUCGUCUUUGAUUAAUGCCUUGGUUUGAAGUGCUUGCUCGAGUGUUUCCUCCUUCUUCUUCUUCUUUUGAUGCUCGUGUGCCUCGAGAGAACCGGCGAGCUCGUCGACUGUGAGCGUCGCAAGGUCCUUUGACUCUUCUAUCGCGCACACAAUACUCUCAAAAUUGUCUGUUAAUGUUCUCAAAAUCUUCUCCACAACUCGUGCAUCGGUUAGAGUUUCACCGUUUCGGNNNNNNNNNNNNNNNNNNNNNNNNNNNNNNNNNNNNNNNNNNNNNNNNNNNNNNNNNNNNNNNNNNNNNNNNNNNNNNNNNNNNNNNNNNNNNNNNNNNNCCAUCAUCUUCAUGUUCUCCAACUCGCCACGCAGAGUUUGUAGACGCACUUGCUUAACUCGGUCAGCUCCUUUGAACACCUUCUCCAAUAUGUCCCAUGCUUCCUUUGAAGUGGAUGCACCAGCAAUCUUCUCAAAAAUUGCCUCAUCAACAGCUCUAUACAACAUGUACAAAGCUGCCUUAUCUUUCGAUCGCAUCUCUUUCAAUGCCUUGGUUUGAGCUGCCGUAUAACCCGUGGUAUUGGUAGGUUCUUCAAAACCUUCUUCGACCACCUCCCAUGAAUCCUGAGAACCGAGAAGAGCUUUCAUUUGAAUGCUUCAGUUGUCAUAUCUGGUCGCCUUCGUUAACCGUGGUAGCGGUAUUUGACCCGUCACAUUCGCCAUUGGCUCUUGAUACCAAAUUGAAAAAAAACAGACACUCACUCACACUUGAAUUUCUCUAAAAGAAACACUCUUCUUUGAAAUUCUUCUUUGUUGUAUUUCUUUUCUGUGGUGUUGUGAGAGCAUCCUUUUUAUAGGCUUUAGGAAGCUCUUCUAGAAAAGUCUUCAUUAUGGCCUUAAAACCCCACUAACAACACAAUUAAAAUCCCACUCACAACUUUUGACCUUUUACAUAUCCAAACUCUCAUUCUACUCUUUUCUAGUAACUUCUAACUUUAAAACCCACAAAUUACAUUAAAGUUUAUUCAACAAUUCAAACCUUAUAAAAAAAAAGUUUCUAGCAAAACCUACACAUCAAAACUGCAACCAAAAAGGAGUAAAACAGAAUGGUACAUCUGUUAUUGAGAAAGAGAACAUAAAAGCAUAAGCACUGUAGUAGGAUAUAAAGCCACAUUACAUCUUUGGUUCUUCAUUACACAAACAGCUAUAAAUUACUGUGAAGUAAAUAAAAUUAAAACGAAAAACAAAAACAAGAACAACUCUAGGAAUUAAGCUGGGAAGAAAAGUUUCCAUUGACUUGUCAAAAAGAAGAUUUAGGGAAUUCCUCAAUGGAUUGCGGAGUGAGGAGUGGACCAUGUGGUACGCUGUAGAUGUUUGAAGUUGUAAACUCACUUUAAGGAAAGAUGAAGGUGGCAACGGUUUACUCAUAAAAAUCCACAGCAUAAUCCCAGGCAUAACUGGAGAUUUUUCAGUAUACCGUUUUGAUAUGGAUCUAACUGAAUCAGAUUCUCGGGUACAAUCCACCUGGUCGAUCGAUAUCAAUGGAGCCGAGGCAUCGUCAGCGUUUGAUUAUGGCAAGCAGAUUCAUGCAGGAGGCAGCGUUACGAACACACAGUUUAUUUUGUGCGGGACUGGAGACAUAGGAAGUUUUAUUGUUCUGGAACAGAAGAAGAAGAAGGAGGAAGAAGAACGACCUUAUGCAGUGACUCUGGCACACUAUUUUGCUUCCAGUGGCCGUAUUAAUGAUUAUUCUAGAAAGAAAAUAGAUGUUGGUCUUUCUGUAGUGGUAAAGAUUCGAGCAAUCAAUGGCAGUUUGGAUGUAACGGUGGAAGGCACUGACAAACACCCUGCUUUUGGAUUACGUUACUUGUUUGAGGAAGCCAUGAGAAGCAAGAUUUGGAAGCCUACUUUAUGCCCACACUGUGCCAAUAUCCAGAAGCAAAGCAGCAUGAUGACUUCGCAGUCUGACAGUGAUGACAGGGAGAGUGUUCCUGUGGCACGCCGUCAUGGUGAAAACCAGCUUAAUUUAAAAGCUGUUGCCAAUAGUAAUUACACUGAAAAUAAAAAUAAAUAUAUGUUCUUUUGAAAGUGAUGGUGGUAACUGAUGUACCAAAUUUGCUUAGUUUUAGUAUGAAGUAACGUAAUUGGCACUAUGGCAUGAAUAAGCCACCAUCAUGUGAAGAAAAUAAGCCUAGAGGUGUUCUUGUAAAAAAGAAGAUUUAGGGAAGAAAAGAUUCCCUGUUAAUUCAAUUAAUUCUUUGCUGAUAAAAAAGAAAUAUCUAAUCAUGAGCAAACCUGUUAUUCCCUAAUUUCCCUCAUUUCUUUUGAACUCACCCAAAAGUUUUUACCCUUGCACCUUUAACUACUUUUGUUUUUAAUAGAUCUCAUACACACCAUUGGUUCCAUGCACCAAUCAGAGUAAGAAAAACAUGCUAUGCGUAUCUUUGAUGUGACCCAUGACCAAAUUUUCAACUACGCCAUCGUGAAGAUUUCUAUGUGGUUUAUGCAUCCGUUUUUAAACAUCUUCUUGUUUCUUUGUUUUCACACUUCGCCUAUUACUUCUAUACACACACAUUCAAAUUUGAUUGACAGUUUCGCUUUCCUUAAACAACUUGAACAGAAGUGCAUUUUUGGAUCUUGGUGAACCGUCAACGCCAUACCCACCCACUCGUAGCACUUAGACCAGACAAGUCAAGUUAUCUGACAUGUGCAGAAUAGAUGUGACGUUGUUUCCGCCGCCCCCUCUCCACACAUAACACAACUGAUAUUUUCCACGUCUAUCUCCCUUUUCACCAAAUUGGCCUUAAACGACUAUGCCUUAAGUCUCCAAAAACCCCUCAUACAUUGUGGCGUCUUGAACCUGAUCUUCACCUUUUAAAACUCUGUAAGCGGUUUGUAGUGUAAACUUUGUAGUGUCGCAAUCUUUCCAAACCUACAUAUCUUCCUUUUCUUCGGUUAAACUCUUCCUAUCCAACAACGUUAUCAUUUGUUGCUCCUGCUGCUUUUAUGAUCUAUGCAUAACCGCACAUCAUAUAUCAUAUAUAAGAACCAAUUUGCUUUGCACCAAUCUAGUAAUUUUUAUUCGAGAUUAUUUUUUUUGGGUACAUACAAUAUAAUAAAUUUACACUAUGAGAAACAUUGACCAAGUGCUAGUAUAUACAAUGAGAAAAUGGUUUCUUUUAAUAGUUUAUGUGUUUUUUUCUGCAACUAAAUAUUUGAUAUUUUUAGAAAAAAAGUUAGAAUCGUUAGGAAAUUGGUCGUAAACCAACGUCUCAAUGUUUUAAACUGUUAAGAGAAACCAAACAAGAAUAUCAAAUAGAUAAAAAGAAACAAUAAAGUUAAAGAAUCGAAGAAAGUAAGAAUGAGCAACAUAAUGAGUGAAGAAGAUAAACAUGAAAGUGCGCAAUAGAAACACAUGAUAGGGAAUUAGAUGCUGUGAAAUUGAAUUAUUGUGCGGAAGAACAACGCUUGGUUUGCAUAUAAGGUGGAAAGAUUCUAUACUCUACACACUAAAGAGUUCAUAAAUAUCCCCAUUAACAUCCCAACCAAGCAUAUCAGAGAAAACCUACCUCAGUACCCACAUAGAUUAACUGGGAAGUGAGUUCUCCAUACUCUAUCCCAUGCACUAACCCUAAAUAUUUCUAUACCCUUAUCUCUCCAAACUCAUCAUCCCACAGAUACUCCAUUUCCGUUCUUAAUUUGUUGGCUUUAGAUGGGAAACAGUAUUCGCAGAGUUGGUCUUCUGAAUACUGUUGGGGUGGGGGAGGAUCAACCUUUUCACUAUCAGCUGGGAAGAAAAGUUUCCAUUGACUUGUAAAAAGAAGAAAUUAGGGAAUAGCAGGUUUGCUCAUGAUUAGAUAUUUCUUUUUUAUCAGCAAAGAAUUAAUUGAAUUAACAGGGGACCACUUUAGGGGUAUCCCAACCCGUAUACAAAAACCAAGAUCUUGAGCAUAUAAGUGCUUCCUGAUCAUUCCUACAUUCCUAGCAGAAAAGACCAGACUAGCCUAGCUCAAUGAUUAGAGAUUUGUUUUAGUAAGGUGUAUGUUCUCUUGUAUAAUAGUUGAUGUAUCACUGAAAUAUCUCCCAUUUGUAUAUUCUUUUCUUAUCGAUAAAAAAAAAUAGAUAAUAACCUAUCUUAUUUAAUACUAGAUUUAUAUGCUAAAAUAAAGAUCAAUUAUAUAUUUUUUCUUGGAAUAACAUUUAUUAUAAAGUUUUAGAAAAUAUAUGUCGGUCAAGUAGUACUGCUUCACAAAUGUUAAUAAUAUAUAGUUUAGAAAAACUUUACAAAUAACCAAUUCUUCUUCAACACAUUCAAAUAUUAUAAGGUACCCAAAAAAAAAUUAAAAUUGCCAAAUCCAAUUUUUAAUUAUCCAAAUCUAUAUUACUUUUAAUCCAUCUAAAUUCAUAUUUUUGGAUUUUAAGUCCAAUCCAUUUAAUUGGAUAUGAAUUAGAUAUAUAUUGGAUAUAUUUUUGGAUUAUUCAAAAUGGAUUUUAGGUUGGAUUUUGACUUAGACCGGACCUAGGAUGAGUCGAGUCAAUCCGAGCCUAGGACGAGCAAAGUCGGUCCGAGUUGAUCAGGGCCCAAGUCGAUCCCAAUCGAUCCGAGCCAAAGACGAGCCCAAUCGAUUUGUGCCCAAGUCAAGCCUAGUCGGCCAAGGCCGAAUUCGAGCCAACCAAAAGUUGAGUCGAAUCAACCCGGGCUAAAGUCAAGCUGAGUGGGUUAGAGCCUAAGUCGAUUUGGCACCAAGCCCAUGUCGAGCCAAGUUGACCCAAGCCCAUGUUGAGCCAAAUCGACCCAGGCCCAUGUCGAGUCAAGUUGACAUGGGCCCAUGUCAAUCUGAGUCGGCAUGGGCCCAUGUCAACCCGAGUCAACCAAGGCCCAUGUCAACCCGAGUCAACCUAGGCCCAUAACGAGCCUAGUCAACCCGGCCAUGGCGAGCCGAGUCGUCUCGGGCCCAUGGCGAGUCGAGUCGACCCUAGCCCAUGUCAAGCCGAGUCAGCUCAGACCUAUGUCGAGCUGAUUCGGCCCAGGCCCUUGUUGAUCUGAGUCGCCCACGUCCAUGUCCAGCCAACUCGACCAGAGCCCAUGCAAUCUGAGUCAACCCGGGCCAAUGUCGAGCAGAGUCGGCCUAGGCCCAUGUCUGUUCGAGUCGGCUCGAGACCAUGUCGAGCUGAAUGGACCUGGGCCGAUGUUGAGUCGAGUCGGUUUGGGCCCGUGUCGAGCCAAGUCGACCCGGACCCAUGUCGAGUCGAGUCGACCCGAACCCAUGUCGAGUCGAGUCGACCCGAACCCAUGUCGAGUUAAGUCAACCCAUAACCAUGUCAAGCCAAGUCGGUUCGGGUCGAUGUCGAGCUAAGUCGGCUUGGACCCAUAUCAAGCUGAGUACGCCCAAGCCCACGUCCAUCCGAGUUUACCCGCCAUGUCAAGGCGAGUCAGCCCAGGUCCAUAUCCAUCCGAGUCGACCCAGACUCAUGUCAAAUCGACCAAUAUACUUUGACCUUCACCUAAAGCCCAUUCAAAUUUGUCUUCAAAGAUAUUCCCUCGGUCCUCCACACCCCAUAUAUUCUUCAUGUUCCUCUACCAUUGGGAUUCCUUGUGAUUCCUAAUAUUAUUUUUUAAUCUCUCCAUUCGUCGUAUUUUGAAUCUAAAACUUCCUUCUACAGACGUUCCAACUUUUCGUGACAUUGACAAAUCUAUUUUCUUAAUAAGACAUUAUUGAAAAUCCUAAUAUCUUUAACACAUUCCUCUUCUUUCUUCGAAUCACAUACCUCCUCCCAACCAACCCAUGUUUUUCCUUCCAUCCUUUCCAUACCCAAAGAAACUUCUUUUGGACUCUCUUAAUGGUGACAUUUUGAAGAAAGACAUAUUACAAAGGAGCAAAGAGAGUUAAGCAAGUACGUAGUAAGGGAUUAAUUUUUUUAAUAAGUAUAAUUAUAUAUUUUAUUACUCGACUAUUAUUAUAAACUUUAUUGUAUAAUUUUUAACACAUUUAAUAUCACGUUUUUCAAUUUUAUUGAUUAUUUAAAUAACUAAGUGUGUUGUAUGAUAAAAAAAAGACGUAAAAAUGGUUUGUUUUUUAAAAAAAAAUUAUAUAAAAUUAUGUUAUCUUAAAUAUAUGUAUAUAAUAUUUUUUUAUCAACAAAUAAUUAAUUAAUUAAAUAAAGCUUCAUUCAUUAUCAUUCUCCCCAGCCCCAACAGCAGCGAGAAGACCAACUCUGCGAAUACUGUUUCUCAUCUAAAAGGCAACAAAUUAAGAACACAAGAGAGUGUCUGGGAUGAUAAGUUUGGAAAGAUGAUGGUAUAGAAAUAUAUAUAGGAUUAGGUAGGUUUUCUCUGCUAUGCACUUGCUUCGGGUGUUAAUGGGGAAUCAAUGAACUUUUUGCUAGACAAAGUCAUUUUGUCAUGCUCAUGGUAACAAAAAUUCAAAAUCAAUAAUUAAGUGCAAGUUAAAAAAAAAAUAUUUUUUUUAAAAAUGAUACAGAUAAUCACAUAAGUAAACAAGAUACAGACAGAACAACAAAAUUUAUUAUUGCUAAAGAAAACAUAAAGUGCAAGCAACAAGGUUACAAUUGGGUUCUGCAUAAUAUACACAACCACUGGCUAAACAAAAAGCUUAUUUUCUUCUUCCAAGAUUGUCUUGUCACCGUCUUUUUGGGAAAAUCAUAACAUUUUCAAAAAAAUUACCAUUACCGUUUCCCUUGAACCUUCCACCAUUGGAGACCCCUCUUGCACUUUUGGGGGUGGCAACAGGUACUGGUAUGGAAACACUGUCACUGUCUUCACUGUCAGACUG
rnacentral:lncRNA from 1 species